UAACCAAUCGCUGAGCACUGUGCUUGAGACGCGGAAAUGCAAUGGCGGACAGGAUGAAGUUGAAUGACGAAAACGGUGUGGGCGAUAAACAAAGGGAAAAUGUUGCCAUAACGUCUUCUUGCAAGGAAAUAUCAAGCUACAGAGACAGUAUGUUCAUUCUUUUGAAUCUGCUCACAGACUUUGGGAGUGAGCUGAAAUUGGGUGAAGCUGCACUGAAAAUCAGCGCCAGUUUAGAAGCAGUGGAUGUGGCAUCUCUUCAACCUACUCGUCAUGUGUUCACCUGUCUUCAGCGACACAUCUCCAAACUACAGUCCGUAUCAGACAACCUGAGGGUACUGGUGGAGGCAGAAGACCAGUCCUCGUCUUCAAAGAGCAACAAGGAUGAAACCACUAGCGCAGUCUCUUCUGAUGAGAUGACCAUCGACUCACCACCCAUUCUACCUGCAGCUCAGCCAACCAGGCCAGAGGUAGAGGAAGAGGGCAAGUUGCAGGUUGAUGACCUCAGCAUUCAGAUCAGAGCCAACAAAUCAGAGAUUGAUAGGAGGAUAUCUGCAUUUAUAGAGCGAAAGCAGCUGGAGAUCAAUGAAAACAACGUGAGGGAGUUCUGCAACGUGAUCGACUGCAAUCAGGAAGACAGCUGUGCCAGAACAGAUGCAGUAUUCACACCCUACCCAGGCUUCAAAAGUCAUGUUAAAGUGACUCGUGUGGUGAACACCUAUGGGCCUCAGACUCGUAGAGGUGGAGGUUUAGGAGGAGGUGCCUUGGGGGAGGCUGAGGAGCAGCAGAGGGCCAUGGUGUCCAGAGACUGUGGGAAUCCAGCCAUAGAGGAACGCCUGCACAACAUCGAGACACACCUAAAGCUCCCAACAGACACGCACACCUUUCUUUUCCAGAGGGUCCAGUGCCUUUAAGUGUGUACCAGAGGCUGAAGAAGCUUGAAGAUCGGAUCCUGGAGUUGGAGGGACUUUCACCGGAGUACUUCCAGUCUAGUUACCUACACAAGCGACCAAAGACAUCAAUGUCUCAGGCCUGCAGUCUGUCGGAGCUGGAUGUGAAGAUCAGUGCUGUCAAAGCGGCCUUGCUGAAGAGGAUGGGGGAGUUUGGGCCGGUAGAGUACGACACCGAGUGUCCACUCUGACCCCCAACCUUUUGACCUACGACCUUCACACAUACCCACCAUUAUGGGGAACCGACUAGAGGAAGAGAUUAGAGACAUUACCGUUGAGGUGUAGAUAUCCACCCUUACACACCGCUGAAUGCUGCUUCAGUUUUAUUGAGUAAAAUGUUUCGAACUGAAGGUCUUCGUCAAGUUAUAAGGUCCUGACAUAGGCCCUCUAGUAAUUUAAUAGGAUCUCUAUGUCGUAAAACCCUCAAAGUUCUAGAAUUAUUACCCUAAAACUGGCUGGCUAGCUAGCUGACCAACAUUGCAGAAAAGUUCUUUGAAUUCAUAUUUUAUGAAUCACAGCUUUGCGUAACCAUGGUUGUCAAACUCCCUGACCAAGAUGGCGGACCUUUAUCCCAUCAUAAGAAGGUUCAUGUCCAUUCUGGUAUUCUAAUUCCUAAUUCUAUGGGUCCUGACCUGAAGGUCUUGGUUUUCAACCUUCGGGUUGAAACGUUGCACUCCAUAAAACUACUGGAGAAUUCAAGUGUGUGGGUAUCUAUCUUUCUAGCAUGAUGCGGCUCUGUGUUUUUCGGGAUCUUUAGUCUGCCUCACUCAAAGAUCCGGAGCUUCCCGAAGCUUCUGCGCAUGUAUAUAUUCUCUACUUUACUCACAGAGAACAGGCUACUCAGGUGAAUGGUGCUCGUUUAAUAAAGUUAGAUCAAAGCUGAAACAGUGUCGGCAAGAUCACAUAAUGAUAAUAUUCGACAUAAGUUUAAUAUAAUAGCGUAGUAUAACGUUACUGUAAGAUCUAAAUGCAUAUCCCCAUUUUUGUCUUGCUUUAUACAGUGUUGUUUUGAAUGAUGUACAGUGAAUUCAUUUUAGAGCAGAUGGUGUUAACAAACUGUAGCAUAGCCUACCUGUGUAUUUUGCCCAGUGGCGCAUGCUGUUGCGUUUUGGCCACAUGAGAGAGAAAUGCGUUGGUGUUUUUAGUUUUUUUAGAAACAUUAUACGUUGCUAUUAUCUUAUUUUCUGUUAAGGAGAAUACUAUGCUCAUUGAUCUAACUUGAUUCAGCGUUGACACUUCCUCCUUUUGCUGUUGUGUUGCAAAGUUUUAAUAUUGAUGUUUUUGUAAAUAAAUUCUCUUUUUCAUUUGGCAAA